rnacentral:rRNA from 1 species
CAGUCGCCACGGGAAAACGGAGGGGGCUAGCGUUGUUCGGAAUUACUGGGCGUAAAGCGUACGUAGGCGGCUUUGUAAGUUAGAGGUGAAAGCCUGGAGCUCAACUCCAGAAUUGCCUUUAAGACUGCAUCGCUUGAACGUCGGAGAGGUGAGUGGAAUUCCGAGUGUAGAGGUGAAAUUCGUAGAUAUUCGGAAGAACACCAGUGGCGAAGGCGGCUCACUGGACGACUGUUGACGCUGAAGUGCGAAAGCGUGGGGAGCAAACAGGAUUAGAUACCCGUGUAGUCCCUGUCUCUUAUAC